rnacentral:tRNA from 9 species
UCCGGAGUAGCUCAGGGGUCAGAGCGGGUGACUGUUAAUCACUAGGUCGGGGGUUCAAAUCCCUCCUCCGGAGCCA